UCCGAGUUGACCCCGGCAGUCUCCUAUGAGUCCCCGGCAUAACCCGCUGGCAACAUAGGACGAGGGUUGCGCUCGUUGCGGGACUUAACCCAACAUCUCACGACACGAGCUGACGACAACCAUGCACCACCUGUGCACGGCCCUUACGGACCCACCAUCUCUGGAGGAUUUCCGUGCAUGUCAAGCCUAGGUAAGGUUCUUCGCGUUGCCUCGAAUUAAGUAACAUGCUCCGCCGCUUGUGCGGGCCCCCGUCAAUUCCUUUGAGUUUUAGCCUUGCGGCCGUACUCCCCAGGCGGGGCACUUAAUGCGUUAGCGACGGCGCGGAUCUCGUUGGUUGAGACCCACACCUAGUGCCCAACGUUUACGGCGUGGACUAC
rnacentral:misc_RNA from 1 species